UGGGGAAUUUUGGACAAUGGGCGAAAGCCUGAUCCAGCAAUGCCGCGUGUGUGAAGAAGGCCUUCGGGUUGUAAAGCACUUUUGUCCGGAAAGAAAUCCUUGGCUCUAAUACAGUCGGGGGAUGACGGUACCGGAAGAAUAAGCACCGGCUAACUACGUGCCAGCAGCCGCGGUAAUACGUAGGGUGCAAGCGUUAAUCGGAAUUACUGGGCGUAAAGCGUGCGCAGGCGGUUUGCUAAGACCGAUGUGAAAUCCCCGGGCUCAACCUGGGAACUGCAUUGGUGACUGGCAGGCUAGAGUAUGGCAGAGGGGGGUAGAAUUCCACGUGUAGCAGUGAAAUGCGUAGAGAUGUGGAGGAAUACCGAUGGCGAAGGCAGCCCCCUGGCCAAGUACUGACGCUCAUGCACGAAAGCGUGGGGGAGCAAAC
rnacentral:rRNA from 1 species